CGUUCAUACUGUACACUUCAGGGCUUGUUAAAUUAAUAAAUGAGUGCUUCAAAACUUCCAUAACCGUAACGAGCUCUGUAACGGUUCAAGGAUGGAUCGCCAUGGGCUGUACGUGACCCGACUUCAAACUUGGAAGCUGUGCAAUAAAGCAAACAGGAGAAUGAGGGAGCUGUCAAUCCAGCACAGUUUGUCCACGUCCACACGGGCUUGAGAAGAAGAAGUCCAAUCCGGCGACAUGAGUGAAAACAGCUGUGCCAAGGGCAGGGAGAGACUUCCGCCGAUACCUGCUGUGGAGGUCACACUACUCCACAGAGGGGGAACAUUCUUUUCUCUUAAAGAGUCCGGUCCAGUCCGAAGCAGACAGUGACCAGCCGACUACCACAGCUGCUGGAUUCAGCACUCUGGCUGCCCAAACCAUGCUCCUGCAUGGUGGCUGGGACAAUGACAGGAAGACCGAGCACAACCAUUUCCUAGAUGAAGUCCAACACUAUCAACAUGCCACUCGGUCCUGUUAAGAUUCUUAAACUGUUAUUUAAGGGAUGACAUCAAGAACCUAAGACUUUUUAAGCCACGUGUUAUACUUUUCCUCAGUGUGCAGACAGAUACUGAUAAUGAAUGCCAAUCAUUUUUUUUUUUAAUAUUCAUCCAUUUUGGGAUAAAUUACAUGUUUUCUUAUAAUGAAAUUACUACAGUGGAAUGAACAAAGGCACUGUAAGGCAUGCAUUAGUACAUUUCUCUCUCCUUGUGUCAUUGUGAGAGUGCAUGUUUCCUGCAACCUAAAGAAACAAGUUGCAACAGUCUCUGAGGUUAAGUUGGGACAACAAGAAAAAUGGAGUCUCAAAAUAGACGAACAAGCCGACCUACUGCCAGAAUGAGGAUAAUAAAAGGUUCCAGGCUAUGUUGUGUGAGUGGGGGAGAGAGAGGGGGGGGAGAGAGAUUCUUUCAUAAACAGCUAGUAUUAUAGGUCUGGAAAGCAGUGGGAGGCUGACUGUUUUCUGUGGACUAAACACUGAACCCACUUGUUGGGAAAAGCUUAACUCAGCACAGGACUCAGCUCUUUCCAAUGCACCAUAAUUGCAGCUCUCCUGGUUUCUGUAUUGGAAAGUCAACGAAUGGCGGCACCAGACUCUAAGGGAAACCUGGGAGCUGGAGUAUUUCCACUGAGCCCCAGCAGCGUAAGACGGAGCGUACUGAGGGGAACUAGAGCCGAAGUUGUCUGGACUGCUGCCCUGGGAAUGAGAGCAAGUCACUGAGGCUCACCAACUAUAGCCACCACAGUAUGCUGUCCAAAACAUUGGUAGCAUUCCCUGAGCUGAAGCAGCCUCCAGAGAAACAGAUCCAAACAGAUGGACACUUCUCACAAAAUAACCUCUUCAGUCUUUCCAGUGCAGUUGGUUUCCUGCAUAUUGUGGUGAAUAUGGCAGGAAUCUGGUGGGAACAAAAACCCCCACCAACAAUGUAAAUUAGUGAAAGGCAAACAUUUAUCAAAGUUUAGGUUGUAUGGUCAAGUCAAGUUUAUUUAAACAUCACAUUUGGUGAUGAUAUUGUCACAUUAUGUUAAAUGAAUUGUUUCAAGCAAAGUUCACAUGUGAACAUGAUUUUGGUCUGAUAUAAUGCACAGCAGUUGAACCUAGGUCAUUGCAAUUUGUGUAAUUUUAUGUGUGAGGGAUUAGUCAAUUAAUCAAUUAGUAGCUCUGAAGAAAACUACCCGUCAACAAUUUUGAUAGUCGAUUUAUAUUUUUUGGUCAUUUAAUGAGCUGAAUUGCAAACAUUCACCACUUCCAGAUUCCCAAAUGUGCUUCUUUCAUCCAUUUUUAUUGUUGUUGUAAAUGUCUUUGGGGUUUUCCACUGUCAGUCAACUAAACUGGCUAAUUUCAA